AGAUCAACAUCAGUAGAGAGGAAGCAUAAUGCAAUCGGAGUCACACUUACAACUUAAACAGGUCAAGAUACGACUUCCUCUUAGUGAAGGAUCUCUUCCUGGGCUCAGGCUCAAGCACACAUGGGCCAGCCAGAUCAAACAAGCGCUGUGGACUUCCAAGUAUCUGGUGCAUGCGGUGGUAUAAAGACUGCAGCACAGGCUUCAUGGAUUCCACACAGCUUACGAGACGCACCAGCUCGGCUGCAAUGUAGCAGAU